GCAAGGGGGAGCGAGGAGAAAGGAGGUUCAAGCAAAUUCUCACUCUAAAGGGUAUAAAUUUACUAAGGCAGAUACCAAUAGUAUGUUUAUUUCAUUCCUCAAAAAUAGAUUGCAACUCCAGAGAAGAAAACAAUGAAAAAUUAUCUUUGCGAUAUCAAAUGAAGCUUCACAGUUUAUAUAUACCUAGAUUCUCAGAAAUUUUUCACAAUAAAUUCCUAAAGCAUACCUCUUUCUUUCCAAACAUACAAAAUAUUCAGAAUCCCAUGGGUGGUGAUGGAGAUAUACCUUAUUUUUUAAAUUAAUUCUGGGGACUAGAAAUAAAAAUUAGUGGCUUUCCAGUGUGACAGGGACGAUUCUAUGGAGAGUGUGAUCAGUAAAAAAUGACUGCUCCCCCAGCAGCCAGAAUACUAUGCUCCUUUCCAGAAUACUUCUCUUUAAUAAUGUAUUUAAUAAUGUGACUCUUCUCUUACUGCAUUUUCCCUGCCAGAUUAUGAGCUCCUUGAGGACAGAAACUGCCUAACUUGUUCAUCACUGUACUGCUGCACCAAGGGCAGUGAUGAGCUGAUGGUAGAUGUUGGCUGAGUGGGUGGAUGGCUAGAUGGACGAUGCCAUCCUGUGGGGCGAAAGGUACAUCGAUGAAUAACAUAGUUACCUUAGGGCCUGCUAGGCACCCUGGGAUUUGCUGUGAGCUGCCCAAGGCACUAGCAUUGCCAUCGUGAAUGUGUGCUUGUGACUUGAAGACCCAGUCUGUAGCUUGAAGUGAAUACCAUUAGUGUUUCCUGACUCUUCCCCCAGAACUCAUCCACACACCAAUGGGAAUAAACCUGUACCCCUUGGGACCUGGGGCCUUCAAAAUCUCAUUCUAAUGUUUGUGCAUUUUAUGAAAAAAUUGAUAUUUUCCUAAGACACCCAUUUUUUGUCUUCAUACAAAAUUCUUUUCCCAUCCUUCAGAUUGUGCAUUGUUAACAAGUCUAUGGCUUGUGGUAUGCCUGGCAAAACUCUGGCAUGACCCAGGGAGUCCCUGUACCCUUCUUGAGAAUCACAGGAUGAAGAUCUUGUCCACAAGAUACUACUGCUAACAUGGAAAUAUUGUAGUUGGGAGAGGUAAUCUUAACCACCACUAAUAUAGAUUCUCUAUAUUUGAUUCCCAUUUUUCACUCAGCAAAGAACAGCCCCCUGACUGAGAAUGGGACAGAUGGGAGGGUUUGAUCAUAGGAAGAGGAAAAUCAUCCAGAACUGCCUAGAAGUGAAGGUCUGAUCAGGUCAGCCUACUGGUCCAAGAUGGCAGCAAAUUGGGGAAGACAAGAUGGAGACAUUGGACAAAGAGGAAGAAACCAGAACUGGGAUGAAAGGAGCCCUUUGCUGAGGCUAUUCAAGGCAAUGGGAUGACCACCAAAGAGAUGACUUUGGUUAUGUGCUCCUCCCAAGGGGUAAGCGCUGGAAGAUGACAAGAGAGAAGGAAGCCCCUAGAGAUCGCCCUGGAACCAAACCACCCUAAAUGGAGCCGGGAGGUCUGUCAAUUCCCAGAGAGCAACGAGGAAAUGGGAAAAUGGAAAUGCAGCAAAGCUGUACUUAAAACAGCAAGCCAGGAACAAAAGCAACACGCUCAGCCAAAGGAGACCUUGGAAGAUGCGGAGAUAAAACAAAAAGCUGUGCUUGGCUGGGACUCUCUUUUGGAAUCAGGUGCAAAAUGGAGAACGCUGUUCCAAUUGUAAAGAUUUUGCAAUCUAUAAUAUCUGGAAUAGAAAGGCAUCAUGUCAUCUACCUUGACAUUCAGAAGCUGUGCUAUUGCUAUGAGUUAUGAUACUUGUUCCUGAACCAGAGUGGUCAAAGGGAGGGUGGAAUUCCUGUGGUGGACCAGAAUUAAAGCUCCACUUAAACAGUGCUUUCCCAUGGCAAUCACUGUCCAUUUUCCUUCCCCCACCUGCCCCCGCACCCCACCCCCACCAGAACCAUAGAAUUUUUAUUUAGAUAUUCACUCAUUCUCUUCAUCCCCAUCUCUCUACAAAGGGUCAUUAUUUACUUAUUAUAUUCAGCCGUUAAAUGUCAACUUUUUAGGACAAGUGUAUAGCUGAUUAUCUGUGCUUCUCAUGAAGACUCCUUUUGUUGGCCAAAUCCUAUUAAAGCCUUGCUGACCCCAAGAAGUUGGAUCUUGAACCCCACAAAUCUCAAUACUUUUUAUCUCUUGGGUGCUCAUUUUGGUUGAGCAAAGGGGCCUCCCUCAAUCCUAAGACUCCUCCCCACUUCCUCCUUUUCUCCUAGUAACUCUUGCCACUGGCCAAAGAUUUAUUAGACCCUAGUUUUGUCCCUAUGCCUCUUGCCACUAGCUAUAAAUUGCCUUUUUGCAAAUUAGAAAAAGCUACCCUACCUCAAGACACUUUGCUGCCAUCUGCCAGAAAACUAUUGUAAUAAAUAUGCCAAGAUCUCAUGACUAGAAUGUGAAUGGUGCCCCCUAGAGUUGUGCAGUAUACAACUGGCGCAACUGUAUAUGACAACCCUGUACUUGGAAACCCCCUGAGCUAUCCUGGAAGCUGGUUGUAUAAAUAAGAACACACUGGGUCAGUCUUGCCUUUUUAUGACAUUUGGCAAUUUCAAAAUCUAAAUCACUUGGCCAUGAUCAAAAAUUGCUGAGAGGCAAUCUCUGGAAGAGACCAAGAGCCCCCAGGUAGCAAUACUCAUAAGAAUAAAGGGUUCUUAUUCAGCCUGAGAUUUGGCCUACUGGCUGGGUAUAUACAGCCCAAACCACCUUGGCUUGAUUUUCAGGAAGCAUCCCUUAGAAAGCUGGUAAGUCUCAGUGUUGAGGGUAAAGGAGGAAAGUGAGCUUGGCCUAUGUUUAGGUCAGCCUUUCCUCUCCCUGGCAUCGGCUGCUUCAUUCCUGUUGAUCGCUCCAUCUGCUGUUCCCCUCCCUCCUUCACAUUCAGUACAACCUGCGUGUUCUAGUGAUCUUUUGCCACAAAACAAACUACCCCAAAACUUAGUGGCAGAAAUAGAAACAGUCAUUUAUUUUGCUCACUAGUCUGCAAUUUGGACACCAUUCGUCAGGGACAUCUCUGCUCCACAUAGCAUCAACUAGGGCAUCCCUGUGUGGCUGGAGGACCUGCCUUCCCAAUGGUGUACACACAGCCGCUGAGUUGAUGCUGGCUCCUGCAGCAUCAGGGAGUUUGGCUGGGGCUCUUGCCAAGGGCUUUGGUUCCUCUCCACUUGGGCUCCCAGGUGGCUGUGGGGGCUUGCUCACACCAUGGAGCUCAUGCUAAACCACCAGUUGAACCAUCCCAACUGACUCCUCAUGAAGCAGAGACAAGCUGCCCCUACCAAAAGUAAAGUGAAAGUGAAAGUGUUAGUCGCUCAGUUGUGUCUGACUCUUAGCGACCCCAUGGACUGUAGCACGCCAGGCUUCCCUGUCCGUGGAAUUCUCCUGGCAAAGAUACUGAAGAAGAUUGCCAUGUCCUUUUCCAGGGGAUCUUGCCCCCACCAAACCUUGCCCAAAUUUCCAAUUUCUGAAAAAAAUAAAUGGCUGGUUUUAAGCCACUAACGCUUGGAGUGGUUUGUUUUGCAGCGAUAGAUCGCCAGAAUGCACAGGUGGAGUGUGAUGUGGGUCCACUGCUACAUCUUCCUAUGAUGCCUGUAGGUGCAUGGAGUAAAGGAAGCUAAAAAAAGAAGAAAAAAAAAAACUACAUUUCCCAGACUCUCUUACCAUGAGGGUCAUGAGUGUCAGUCAGGCCAUCCUAGCACAGAGUUUGGAAGGCAAACGUGAGACAGAAGCCUAGUUCCUACAGGCUCUGUGUGUUUUCUGUUGGAAAGCAAGGCCGUGGGGCCACCGGCAUCCAAUCUCAGCUUCAUGGUGUCAGUCAGUUGAGGAGGUGGCGGUGGCCCCUGCAUGUCCCAGCAUGCAGGCAGAUGUUCCCGGCUGUCUGACCAAAUGCUGGGGUAUUGCAGCUUCCGUGUUCUUGGGGUCAGCAGUGCCAGCGGCAGCCCCUGAGUCCUGCCUUCCUGAAAGUGAGAGAGGUGGCAGUGGUGCCACCACUCCCGGCAGGUCAGCUCUGCCACAGGCUGGGGAUUGUUCCUAGAAAUCCAGCAUAGAGGCUUCCCUUCCAGCCAUCCACCAAGUUUGUAAUUCCAUCUUUUUGCUUAAAAACCCUAGUCUGGUUCCUAUUUCCUAUAUUAAUCCUUCAGUUUAUGAAUCCUGCAUGCUGAUCCCUUCUCAGCCACCAUCGUCCUUGCUUGCUUUCUCUCAUGUACUCACUCCUUUGACAGAUAUUUAUGGCAUACCUACUCCACCUAGACAGCAUAUUAAAAAGUAGAGGCAUCACUUUGCCAACAAAGUUCCAUAUAGUCAAAGCUAUGGUUUUUCCGGUAGUCACGUACAGAUGUGAGAGUUGAACCGUAAGGAGGCUGAGCGCUGAAGAAUUGAUGCUUUUGUACUGUGGUGCUAGAGAAGAUUCUUGAGAGUCCCUUUGACAGCAGGGAGAUCAAACCAAUCAAUCCUAAAAGAUCAAGCCAGUCAGUUCUAAAGGAAAUCAACCCUGAAUAUUCACUGGAAGUUCUGAGGCUGAAGCUGAAGCUCCAAUACUUUGGCCACCUGAUGCGAAGAGCCAACUCUUUGGAAAAGACCAUAAAGCUGGGAAAGACUGAAGGCAAUAGGAGAAGGGGAAGGCAGAGGGUGAGAUGGUUGGGUGGCAUCAUCAGCUCAAAGUACACGAGUGUGAGCAAACUCCGGGAGAUGGUGAAGGACAGGGAAGCCUGACAUGCUGCAGUCCUUGGGGUCCCAAAGAGUCAGGUACAACUGAGUGACUGAACAACAACUCCACUGCCAGGCACUGUGCUAGACCCUGGAGAAGAAUCUGUGAGCUGAACAAGCAUUGGCACUACCCUCAUGGAAGGAGUCAAGACACAGACCGGGAAGCAGAGAACUACAAUCCUCAGGCCAAGUCAGCCCCUGCCCAUUUUUGUGGAAAAGUUUUCUUAGCACACAGCCACACCCAUUCACUUCUGUCUUGGCUCUGGCCAGUGUUUCGCUACAAUGGCAAAGUUGAACAGUUGCAACAGAGACUGUAUGACCCACAGAGCUGAAAAUAUUUACCACCUAGCCUUUCACAGAAAAAGUUUGCCAACUCCUGCAUUAAACAAAUAAAACUCCAAGUCAGGCUCCUGGUGUACCCACAUCCAAUCAAUCACUCUGUCAGUUCUGCAGACACACACGCCAAGCUCAACUCUGAGCACUCCAUGAGAACCACCUUACUUAAUUCUCACAACAGCCUUUGGAACAUACUGUUAAAAUCGGAAAGCGUGGGGAGAGGCAGGGGUCAGGGUGACUGGGUAGUUGGUAAAGCUUUAAUGAGAUGAAAAUUCCAGGAGGAGGAGCCAAGAGUAGGCAGGAGUGGGUGGGCUCGUGUAGACUCGGGUGGCUGAGGCCCCCACGGACGCCUGUGAGAGGCUGUUCUGGCCAGUUUUCAGCGUAGUGGGGUGGGGAAGCAUGAUUUCAAGUCUGGCCUGAUUUCAGGGUCAAAUCACAACUCUUCCACUAUUAACUGUGUGGCUUUAGCUACAUCACAUCUCUAAGCCUCUUAGCUUCCGUCUCUCACAAGUGAAAUGGGCUCUUGUGAAACUGAAGUCAGGGCAUAUACAUGCAGCGUCGAGCCUAGGGCUUGGUCUGUGGAAGGUGUCGGAUCCACGUGGGCACCUCCCCUUCAUCUUUGGUCUGUCCUGUAUGUGGUGGAAAACUACCCUAAAAUCUCAGCUGACAUUGUGUUAUUCUCCUCGUUAGAAAAUAUGAUGGCUUCCACUGGCCCCCACUAGUGGAAGGAGACACUAGUUCGGAGGGGCUGCCCAGCACACGCCUCUUUAAACUCCUCCCCACCCCUCGCAUUGCAUUUUCUACGGAAAGUCAAGUUUUUACCAUGUAACCCUCCUGAUUACCAAAACAGCUGAUGAUACUGGGGACAGACGCCUGACAGGGGAACCAGUCUGUUGACUGGCCACUAGCUAAUGGAACUGUGUCCAAGAAUCAAGAGGCUCUGGUGAUGGAUGCUGGGCCUACAGGUUAGGUUGAGUCAGGAUCAGAGAUGGCCCCAUGGAGAGCAGAGCGAAGCAGUGGCUAGAGACCAGUGGCCACCAAAGAGUGAGUGGCUGGGAACAGCUGCUGCUCAGCUCCUCCAUCUGCAGAUCUAACACUACUUCCAGAGAAAUACACCAUUUCUCUGAGAUUCCUCAAGCCCCCGCAGACACCAUUUGUCCCUUGAGCUAUUUCCAGGGAGUGUAGGCCCCUGCAGUCCUGCUCCACUGUUUGCCUCAUCUCUCCUGCCUCCACCAUCACCCCUGCCCUGGAUCCUGUCUGCGCUGCACUGCCCGCAACUCCUCAAGCACACUCUGUGCUGCUCCAGCCUUUCCCUCUUGCCUGGAAUGUUCCUUUGCCCUCUCUUCUCUUCUUAACCACCCAUCCAUCCUUGGAGGCCUCGCUCAAACAUCUCCUCCUUCCUCUCUGAUCCCUCAGUCAUAAUGGUAGCUCCUCCCAAGAGCUCCCCACGUUGGGCUCUGGUCUCCCCAGGGUCUCCUGCGCCCUCCCCGAGCGCUCCUCCUCGUCUCUGUGCUCGCUGCCAAUAGGAAGUUAGCCCGUGCUAAACACUCAGAUACAACAGUGAAUUUAUUCCAAGGGUUAGAAAACCUCAAAUACGAUCCGAGUUUCUUCCAUAAAGACUAUUAUGCCAAUAUAAGGCAUUGUUCAUUAAAAUGGAAAUGCAUUUAGAGAAUGCUUCAGAUUAAAGGGAUAAAGAUCAAAGGGUGCAUUUUUGGCCAAGAGUUCUGAGUCAUACAGACCCAAAUAAAUUGUAGACAUUUUAUUUCCUGAACUGAUUGGAACCAUAACACUGGAUUUGGUGCUGGAAUAUAAAACUUGCUGAAACUUUU
ensembl:lncRNA